GUCUCCUUCGUCUAGGGGUCUAGGACACCGCCCUUUCACGGCGGCAACACGGGUUCAAAUCCCGUAGGAGACGCCA
rnacentral:tRNA from 1 species